AUUGAACGCUGGCGGCAUGCCUAACACAUGCAAGUCGAACGGUAACGCGGGGGCAACCCUGGCGACGAGUGGCGGACGGGUGAGUAAUACAUCGGAACGUGCCCAGUAGUGGGGGAUAGCCCGGCGAAAGCCGGAUUAAUACCGCAUACGACCUACGGGUGAAAGCGGGGGAUCGCAAGACCUCGCGCUAUUGGAGCGGCCGAUGUCAGAUUAGCUAGUUGGUGGGGUAAAGCCUACCAAGGCGACGAUCUGUAGCUGGUCUGAGAGGACGACCAGCCACACUGGGACUGAGACACGGCCCAGACUCCUACGGAGGCAGCAGUGGGGAAUUUUGGACAAUGGGGGCAACCCUGAUCCAGCCAUGCCGCGUGCGGG
rnacentral:rRNA from 1 species